rnacentral:rRNA from 1 species
CAGCAGCGCGGUAAUACGAAGGGUGCAAGCGUUAAUCGGAAUUACUGGGCGUAAAGCGUGCGUAGGCGGUGAGUUAAGUCUGCUGUGAAAUCCCCGGGCUCAACCUGGGAAUUGCAGUGGAUACUGGGUCACUAGAGUGUGGUAGAGGAUAGUGGAAUUUCCGGUGUAGCAGUGAAAUGCGUAGAGAUCGGAAGGAACAUCUGUGGCGAAGGCGACUAUCUGGGCCAACACUGACACUGAGGCACGAAAGCGUGGGGAGCAAACAGGAUUAGAGACCCCUGUAGUCCCUGUCUCUUAUACA